UACAGAGGGUGCGAGCGUUAAUCGGAAUUACUGGGCGUAAAGCGUGCGUAGGCGGUCAUGUAAGUCGGGUGUGAAAGCCCCGGGCUCAACCUGGGAAUUGCAUUCGAGACUGCAUGGCUAGGGUGCGGAAGAGGGAAGCGGAAUUUCCGGUGUAGCGGUGAAAUGCGUAGAGAUGUGGAGGAACACCGAUGGCGAAGGCAGCCCCCUGGGCCAACACUGACGCUCAGGCACGAAAGCGUGGGGAGCAAACAGG
rnacentral:rRNA from 1 species